rnacentral:rRNA from 1 species
AUUGAACGCUGGCGGCAGGCCUAACACAUGCAAGUCGAACGAGUGGCGGACGGGUGAGUAAUGUCUGGGAAACUGCCUGAUGGAGGGGGCUAACUACUGGAAACGGUAGCUAAUACCGCAUACCAUCGGAUGUGCCCAGCUGGGAUUAGCUAUGAGGUGGGGUAAAGGCUCACCUAGGCGACGAUCCCUAGCUGGUCGGAGAGGAUGACCAGCCACACUGGAACUGAGAUACGGUCCAGCCUCCUACGGGAGGCAGCAGUGGGGAAUAUUGCACAAUGGGAGCAAGCCUGAUUCAGCCAUGCCGCGUGUAUGAAGAAGGCAUUCGGGUUGUAAAGUACUUUCAGCGCGGAGGCGUUACCCGAAGAGGAAGCACCGGCUAACUCAGUGCCAGCAGCCGCGGUAAUAC